rnacentral:rRNA from 1 species
GACGAACGCUGGCGGCGUGCCUAAUACAUGCAAGUAGAACGCAGUUGCGAACGGGUGAGUAACGCGUAGGUAACUGCCUCAUAGCGGGGGAUAACUAUUGGAAACGAUAGCUAAUACCGCAUACUGUGAGAUGGACCUGCGUUGUAUUAGCUAGUUGGUGAGGUAAAGGCUCACCAAGGCGACGAUACAUAGCCUACCUGGGAGGGUGAGCGACCCAAAUGGGAACGCAGAACGGGCCAGACCCCUUCGGGAGGGCGCAGUGGGGAAUCUUCGGAAAUGGAGGGAAAUCCGACCGAGCAACGCCGGGUGAGUGAAGAAGGUUUUCGGAUCGUAAAGCUAUGUUGUUAGAGAAGCGGUACCUAACCAGAAAGGAACGGCUAACUACGUGCCAGCAGCCGCGGUAAUAC